rnacentral:lncRNA from 1 species
UGGCCCCUGGGCCAAGAGUAUCAUCGGGCCCAGUAAGUGUCCCAUGAGAGUCAGGGUUCUUCAGUAGAACUGUUGUGACACAGAAGUUCUAACUGAAAGAAGAGAGAGAAAGAUCACUGAGGAGGCCAUGGUGGUCUUGUGGCGAGAGUGAUUCCUCAGCUACCUUGGGUGUCCAUUACUGCCCACAUGAGUCUCUUCUUUCUGGUAGGGAGAGGGGAUCUGUCUCCAGAACCCACAAUUGACAGAAACUUAUCAGAAAACCAAAUAAUAAACUCCUGCAAUACAGAUACCUUAUCUCGGGUUUUGUUUGACAGAAUUUUCCUUGAGCAGAUGAUAGACUUCAGAACAGAUUUGAUGAGUGAUUGAUGAAUCUAUUGAUUGCAUCUCUGGUCACCUCUAAGAGAUUUAGAUUCAAUAGAAGAUAUUAAUUCCUCCACCCCUGGGGAAAAUUAGGGCAAAAAUGAAGGCACAAGGGGCCCAGAGAAGACAGGGUGUGAGCAAGAGAAAAACUAGCACAGCUCUCUCUCUCGGUCAGAGACAAUAAAUGAAUCUUCAAGGGACAAAAGACAUGCUCUGCUUAGAUUCUACAGCACAUACAUUCAUCGGUCUUCACUCCAACCUAUUUUUACACCUUCUCUUUCAGCUGCUUACUACAAAGGCAACUACUUCUACUCUUGGAAAAGCCUGCAAGAAACUGAGAAGCUUCAGUUGGGAUUCCCUUUCCUGCUUCAAGAAAGAAGGUUUGAUCAAAUACUGAGAAGCAGGCUUCUUUCUCUCUGAAGAUUUUACACAUCGCAUAAGGAUA